rnacentral:lncRNA from 1 species
UGCCGGUUGAGGCUCAGUUGCCAACCUUCCUUGCAAAUCAUUUCCUACGGACACUGUUUUUCUUUGAAACACACCGUCUGCACUCCGUUCUCAGAGAGACAUACUCAAAAUGUCAGUAAACGAUUUAUUCAGACGUAUAACACGGUUGGAUGUGCCAGUUCCGCCAGGGGGACCAUACGACAAAAUCAUCUAUUUCGUUCUAGGCAUACUGAACUGCUUCAUAUUCGGACUGGGAAUGGUCAUUAUCGGUUUCCUGCAGAAUGAUGCAGUGAAUGUGUUCAUUGGUGUGCUGCAGCUUUUGCUGCCGUUUGUUGGUUGGAUUUGGGGUUUGCUUUGGGGUAUUCUUAUCUCCAUUAGGGCCAUCAUCACCUGAGGCGGACUGAAAUUUCUUGAAAAGGGUUCCGGUACUGGCGCACUACAGUAGACAAUGGGGUCGGAUUAAUAGUAUGCUUAAUGCAUUUAAUGACCAGAGCAUGCUUUUGGCAGUCGACGCCCUAAUGGACAACGAGUUGGCCUCAUUACGCGUUGGGUGCCGCGCGCGGUGAGAGUUUUUUCGUGCGGUACCUUGAUGCCUGUGCCAUGGUGUAGAAAACAGCGCGACUUCGGGGGCAUCAGCCACCGUUUUGUGUAAAAGUGCAAGUCGACGAAUGGGUAUCUUACUGAAUGCAAAGACGUGUUUUGCUGAUAUUGUUGUGCACUGUUUAGUUUCUUGAACCCCCUCAGCUUUGUCUCUCGUGCUGUUGACGUUCUGCCGAUAAAGACUAAUCGAGUUUUCUCCUGGUAUACCUCAUGCAGCCAACCAGCUGACCAGAAAACUAUUGAGGCGAGACUAUAAAGUGGCUGGAUGUAAUUGCUCCGAGUUGCUUGCGGAGUCGUUCUAAACCGUUGACAUCAAUGAGCAAAACUGAUGUGGGUGCCACGGCCACGCACCGUUUUUGCGUCGCUAACGUUUCUGUUCGUUGCUAGGACCGGUGAAUGGCAGGACUACCUAGAAAAGGUUAAAGGACACGUUUAUGCUAGGGAGCACAAUAGGCAUUCAAAAGAUGAACUACAGCCAUUCUCAGGUCCGCGUCCCUUAGGAGAUACGGCAGACUCAGGUGAGCUCCGCCCAACCUCAAAGUGUCAGCGUGCCGAUCGCCGCCUGGUCACCAGACGCUGUAUCAAAUUCUAUACAGAUGCGCUCAGGGAGUCGUGUAUUCAUUGGCAAAUCAGAACGUCAGAAAAAAGCGCAACCAAUACAAUCGACCAUGCCUUCUAGCCCCCGAAAGACGGUCUAGUGGGCCAGCAGUGUUAGGACAUACUUUUAUCCGCUCCUCAGUCGGAAAACUGUUGCAGAUGGUGCACGUAACGCUUGGGGGUGUAUUACACAUGAUAUUGAAUGAACCAAUAAGCUCAGGACCUACCGCCGUUCAGUCACAGCAGUCCCGAUGUAGUGAAUCAUUCGCGAUACAUAUGCUUUUAGCGACUCCUUUUGUGUAAUUGUGACGCGAC